AGUACAGAAAAGACAGAAACUUUCACAGUGGUGUUUCAUCCAAAAAACAGACAGAUUGUCUUUAUCUUUAAGAUGCUGUCAGUGAACUUCAGUCUGUUUGUGACUUUGUUUCUGCUCACAAUAAGAGGUGUCAGCUGUGAAGAACUCACUGCAGUCAAGAAACAAGAGCUCAGUUUAGAAGACAGCACUGUUACUCUGUCCUACACAUACUCUAAACAAGCUGAUGUAACUGAUUAUUUCUUCUGGUAUCGACAAUAUCCAGGAAAACCACCACAGUUCCUCAUCUCUCACUCAGGAACAGGAAAGUUAAUGUCUAACCCAGUCUCUAGACUGUCAGUUACAGUGAGUGAGGAUAAAACCCAAAUGGAUCUGCAGAUCUCCUCUGCUGCAGUGACAGACUCUGCUCUGUACUACUGUGCUGUGAGGCCCACAGUGACAGCAAACCCACAGUCUCUGUACAAAAACACAAGCUGACACACUGACAAGCUGCUGGAAGCCUUUUUUCCACACUGUUGGACUCAACUUUUUAGCUCCACUAGAGGGCGACAUUAUCAAGUAGGCGGUGCACUACUUCUGCACUGUGUUCAACCAUUCUGUCAAUAAUAACUGCUGCUGUGAAGAGAACAAUUGUCACACUGAAUGUUGAACAUCAGCUAGUUUCUCCUGUUGAUUUAAACCUUGUUGUAGAGAUGGAACAUUGGCUGUGGAUUAUUCUUGCUGCUCUUUUCUUUGGACUAAUAGCUGGAGACACAAUCUCUCCUGUAGGAGAUAAAGUCAGUGGAAGAGAAGGAGAAUCUGUCACACUCAAAUGUCAAUAUGAGACAACUGGCAGCUAUAUAGACCUUCACUGGUACAGACAUUCUGACCUUCAGGCUCCUCAGUUUAUACUCUGGAAAGGAGCAAAAGGAUCUUCAGCUGAAUAUAUUCCAGAUAAACGAUAUGAAUCUGAAACAACAGGUUCAUCAACUGAACUGACCAUCAGAAAACUAACCCUGGCAGACACAGCUCUCUACUACUGUGCUCUAGAAACACAGUGAUACAAAGUGUAGAAGAGGCUGUACAAAAACCUGAACACAGAUAUCUGACUACUCUUCAAAGAGGAGGGAAGUGGUAUUCAAACCACAGCUUCAUAUCAGAUGGAUUCUGCUAAUUCCUGUUUUAUCAGAGUCACUGUGGUUACAGCUGCUAAUGAAACACUGUGGGAGGAUUCACAUGAGCAGCAAAUCCACAUCAAUGACAAACCAACUGGAUGAUGCUUCAAACACAAGACACCAUGGAAACAAAUAAAUCAACACUGAAAAUUAAAAUGAGUAAUAUGUGACAUCUGAACAACAACGUGUCUAACAUUAAAACUUUUAGCUAAAUAAA